GAUGGGGCUAGCAGAUCAUCAGUUGGAAAGGAUGUUCUCCUUUGAACUGGAAGAGAGAGGAGCAACUUGCUGAGCUCAAGCUUUGGUGAUUCCUCAUCUAUCUUAAAAAAUCAGAUUAGUCAUCCUUCCUCAGUAGUGGUGGAGAGAGACUUUUUCCCUUUGGGGAAGGAUCUUCUUCAGUCCUUUUCUACUUCAUUAAAGAUCAACAAAUGAACUUGCUGUCCAAAUUAGCAUUACCCUGGGGUUUUUAUGGCUCCCUAUAUGCCAACUCAAGCCUUGAUUGAAACCACCUCCUUGGUCACCUCUUCCCUGUGAUGGCGGGCUGAAGGAGUAUCCAAAUCCUCUUAAAGUCUUCCUUAGAAGGCAGAAGUCGGACCUCCAACUUACUUCACUUUGCAUCUGUAGCUAUAGCUGGUUCCAUCAGUAUAAAAUAAAAUGCUUCUCACCAA